rnacentral:rRNA from 1 species
AUUGAACGCUGGCGGCAGGCCUAACACAUGCAAGUCGAACGAGUGGCGGACGGGUGAGUAAUGUCUGGGAAACUGCCCGAUGGAGGGGGAUAACUACUGGAAACGGUAGCUAAUACCGCAUACCAUCGGAUGUGCCCAGAUGGGAUUAGCUAGUAGGUGGGGUAACGGCUCACCUAGGCGACGAUCCCUAGCUGGUCUGAGAGGAUGACCAGGCAAACUUGAACUGAGACACGGUCCAGACUCCUACGGGAGGCAGCAGUGGGGAAUAUUGCACAAUGGGCGCAAGCCGGAUGCAGCAAGGCCGCGUGUAGGAAGAAGGCCUUCGGGUUGUAAAGUACUUGCAGCGGGGAGGCGUUACCCGCAGAAGAAGCACCGGCUAACUCCGUGCCAGCAGCCGCGGUAAUAC